GCGACCCCAGGUCAGGCGGGGCUACCCGCUGAGUUUAAGCAUAUCAAUAAGC
rnacentral:rRNA from 2 species